GCAAACUUGGUCAUUUAGAGGAAGUAAAAGUCGUAACAAGGUCUCCGUUGGUGAACCAGCGGAGGGAUCAUUACCGAGUUAUCACAACUCCAAACCCAUGUGAACUAUACCAUUUGUUGCCUCGGCGGGGCUGUACCUACCCGGUACUUACCCUGUAGCCAGCCCCGCCGGCGGAUUUCAAACUCUUGUUUCUUUGUGGCAAUUCUGAGUACACUAUUGAAAUAAGUCAAAACUUUCAACAACGGAUCUCUUGGUUCUGGCAUCGAUGAAGAACGCAGC
rnacentral:misc_RNA from 1 species